rnacentral:rRNA from 1 species
CUAUACUGCAGUCGAGCGAAUCUAUGGGAACUUGCUCCCUGAAAUUAACGGCGGAAGGGUGAAUAACACGUGGGCAACCUGCCUAUAAAACUGGGAUAACUUCCGGAAACCGGAACUAAUACCGGAUACCUUCUUUUCCCCCAUGAAAAAAAAUGGAAAGACGGUUUACCCUGUCACUUAUAGAUGGGCCCGCGGCGCAUUAACUAGUUGGUGAGGUAAUGGCUCACCAAGGCGACCAUGCCUAACCCACCUGAAAGGGUGAUCGGCCACACUGGGACUGAAACACGGCCCAAACUCCUACGGGAGGCAGCAGUAGGGAAUCUUCCGCAAUGGACGAAAGUCUGACGGAACAACCCCCCGUGAACCAAAAAAGCCUUCCGGUCCUAAAGUUCUGUUGUUAGGGAAAAACAAGUACCAAAAUAACUGCUGGUACCUUGACGGUACCUAACCAGAAAGCCACGGCUAACUACCUGCCAACAGCCGCGGUAAUACCUAAGUGGCAAGCGUUGUCCGGAAUUAUUGGGCGUAAAGCGCGCGCAGGUGGUUCCUUAAUCUGAUGUGAAAGCCCACGGCUCAACCGUGGAAGGUCAUUGGAAACUGGGGAACUUGAGUGCAAAAAGAAAGUGGAAUUCCAGUGUACGGUGAAAUGCGUAAGAUUUGGAAGAACACCAGUGGCGAAGCACUUUCUGGUCUGUAACUGACACUGAAGCGCGAAAGCGUGGGGAGCAAACAGAUUAAUACCCUGGUAGUCCACGCCGUAAACAUGAAUGCUAAUGUAAAGGUUUCCGCCCUUUUGCUGCGCUAACGCAUUAGCACUCCGCCUGGGGGAACGCGCAAGGUGAAACUCAAGAAUUGAGGGGCCCGCACACGGUGGACAUGUGGUUUAUCGAAGCACGCGAAACUUACCAGUCUUGACUCCUCUGACACCUAGAGAGGCUUCCCCGAGACGGCAUGGUCGUCAGCUUAUUGGGUAUUCCACGACAGACUAUGCAGCUCAUGCGCAGAGGGUACCGCCCGUGAGCAAGUGA